rnacentral:lncRNA from 1 species
UUAUUUCUAGUCAUCCAAUGCUUGAAUAAAAGCCAAUGGGUUUAGGCCCAAUGGGCCCAAUUAAACCCGAACGUUUCUUUAAGCCCAAAACGAUAUUUUAUCGCUUUUAUGAUUUCUUUAGACUUUCUAAAUUAAUCACAACACUUAAUUAAUCCAAUUAAUUAUUUCCAUCAUCCAUUAAUUACUCACCAUAAGAGUGUAUCGGUGUACAAUCAUUUUAGGUUCUAAUUAGCAAGGUAGUGAGGUGAUUGACAUCAAUCCAAUUGAUUAUAUUUAAUUCAAUCACUUAGUGAAUUAAAACUUCCUUUUAAUUCACCUUCUUCUUUGAUGACUACAUUUAAUCAUCUAGAAGAACUCACAAGCUAUGAGUGACAUCUAACCAUAUAUCAUAGCUACCCAAGCUAAUGUAGAAGUUGUUCGGAGACCUAUUCAGUUGGAAUUACAAUGUAAUUCGAUCAUUCUCUAAAACAAUACUCUCAAUCACAUUACUAGGGUAUGGAUAUAUUAUGUCAAACCCCUAAUGUGAUUAUUCCUUCUUAUAUGAUUCAAUUGAGUCGUAUAGGAAUGCUUUCCUUUAUUACGCUCGAUACUUCGGCCGAAGAUUCCCGAAUCAUAUCUUAGAGUAUUCUUCCUCUCUUAUCGAGGAUUAGAGAUUCCUUGUUGCGCAUUCACUUGCCUUCAUGACUAAGUGGCUUAACCCCAAUUAUGCCGUGGACACCCGCGAAUAGGGUGACUUUGACAUAAUCAAAGAUUAAGUACUUAGCCACAAGACAACGACGAUGUCUCAGGUCAAAGGACUACUUACAUUAUUCCAACCAUUAGAGUUACUUGCUUGACAUGUGAGUAGACCUCCAUGCAAGUACUCUCGUUCGAUUGUGUUCAGUGAACUCAUUCCCUUAAUGAGCACCUACAUACUUGUCUUAGUGUCACCACACGAAUGGGAUGAGACAUUCCAUCCUUCCAUUCGAAGCAGACACAGUAUGUACCGGUCUAAGCAUUGUUAGUAUCCCUCCGACAAUCCAAUGACCAGGAACCUUUUUGGACAUUAUGGUUAUGUGAAGAAGGUCUCUGUAGUCUAACAUCAUUAGAUUACUUCUUCAAUCGAUCAAUUGUCCAUGGAUCACUAUUUAGGACAUAUAUCGUUUAUUGAGAUAGUCCUAAUUAGUAUCUUUGCCAUUUGAUGUAUAAGAAUCAUAUAUACAUCCAUUCAUUUGUCCUGAAAGGUUUCUUCCAAAGAUUGACAACCUUCUCCAUAUUCAACUUCAAUUGCCUGAAAAUACCGAAAAGCGGAGCAAAAACAUAAUUUCAUCAAAAUUGCUUACCCAAGGAUAAGUUAAAAAUAGAAAAUAAUCAAAACCUUCUCCAUAUUCUCUGUGUUUGUCCCAGUAACUUGGGAGAAAAAAAAUGGGGUGUUUGAUUGAAAACCAGAAGUCUUUGAAGAGAGAUAGAGAGAUUACAUGCCUCAUCAAGCAUGGAUAAGAAGCAAGCUGAAGAGGUGGCAGUGAUACUCGAUUAUGCCCAAACUCACACAACACGCAUACGGUACUCAUAAGAAUACAUAAUUUGUAUUGGUAGUUAGUAAUACCAAUAAAAACAAAAAACAAAAAAAAACAAAAAACUUAAAUUUUAAUAAAUAAAAAAUCAAGCUACAGAAACAGUGGGCUGUUUUAUAGCUAAUUAGUUCCACCACCUGAGUUCCUUUACAACAAAAAUUAACAAAACCUUAAAAAGAUAUAAAAGAAAAUUAACAGAAAAUUCACACUUCAAAGGAUAUCAAAAAACCAGCCCCUCUGAAGAAGAAAGAUGCAAACGAAAUAUAACAAUAUAAACAUAAAUUAAAUAUAACAAAUAAAACCAACAAUAAUCAGCAAACAAAAACCUAAACAUUCAGAUUUUUCAGAUGAAACCCAAUUUCCACAAAAUAAAUUCAAAAUCCCAUCAGAGAAAAUUGCCCUUCUCAACCCAUCAUCCCCACCGUUCGAUUUUAAGCUUUGGUGGGUAGAAUAGUCAUUAAAUUUACUGAGGGCUGGGCUUUUA